UCAGCUGCUGCUGCAAUAGAAGACAUAUUGAAAUCAGAUUAGGAGAGUGAGUAUUGUAUGGUGACGGCAGACAAGAGGAUAAAAACGGAUGCUCAUGUCAAGCUUGAUGAGGAUUUAGUCCAAGCUUUGAAAGACCCUGCAAUGCAGUUUUCAAAGACCACAGUGUCUGAAUUGCAAGCCCCCAGAUGAAGAUGAUGAUUUAAAGAUGAUGAUGAUGGUGACAUUUGAAAUGUUCUGUUUCUUUGUUUGGUUUAGCCAUUUGCAGGCAACUUCAUUAUCCCCCACUUUCACAGACAAGGCUUAAACCUAGUCCCAG